UGCUUAUAACAAUACUUUUUAAGAAAUGUUCAAUGUUCCACGAGACCAACAUCCACAUGAGAUGAAAAGAAGUCUAAGGUUAGUUCCUGACAGAUUCCUGGAAGCUAAGAAAGUCUCAUUCCAGUAACUGCUUAAUAUCCCAGCUGCCAGUCUUAUUCUUCAAAGACUGAAGCCCAGCCCCAAUGCUUCUUGUCUGGUGCCAGCACAGCUUGCCUGGACUUCUGAAAAUUGCAAGCCCUUGCUCCUUGCUGGUCACCAUGCUCCCCCUUUCUUUGUUGAGACUCCCUCUUGCAUGGUUUACCAGGCGCCCUUAUUGCCCCUCAUGUUUGUGUGCCACUUUGGACUUUGGACUUCAUCUGGCACACUUAGUUCCCUUCAUCCACACCUGAAGCCAGAGGAGCUGAAGUGACUGCAUCACUUUCUCAAUUCUGGCUCCUGCCCACCAGCCUUGCUCUGCUAGGAGGAAUUAGCUCUGCCUGGCCAGAAUCCAAGAAGUGACUAAUCAAACUUGCUCAAUAGGUGGUAAUUAAACUUCUGGCUCUAAAGCCCAGAAUAGGUUGUCAAUAGGAUUGCACAGUGGCUGCCUGACACUAAGCAAGGAUGUAGUUUUACAUCUAGUUUUAAAUCAUAAACUCUAAUAGGAUUCUCAGAGAAGACAGUAAAGAGUAAGGCCAAAAAAAGUUGUUUUAAGAGGAAAAUGGCAGUAAGUACAAAAGAUAAUCUGGGGAAGACCUGGCAUUUCUGAAAUCAAAAUAUCUAUUACUAAGUGGAUCAUGACUGCUUAGUUUCUGGUCUAGAAUCUUUAAGUAAGCCGUUCAGAAGAUGUGAUACUAAAGAAUGAUACCAACUGAAGAAUAGAAAGGAGGAACUGAGGAUGACUUCAGAAAAAGGCUGCAAGCAUGAAAAAUGUUGAUCUCACCCACUGAUCUAUGCUCUAUUUAAGAAUGUACUAAUACAAAUAUGCUUUUUCUCCCUACAUCCAAUCCCUAUUACUACACCAAAUACUUGUUCCUCUAGGAAAUGUGCAGUUGAAACAACUUCCACCAUUAAAUGAGAAUUAUUCAGCUU